UCACUGUAUCUUGUCAUUACCAACAUAUUCAUGCACACAUACCUCAUUGGAUAUCAUUCAAAUAUACCAAUUUUGCAUUCAUGAAUCAAGCAUGUAUAAAUCACAUAUCAAAAUAACAUUUACUACUAGUUCAAGCCAUGUCACAUAGCUUGUCCAUAUACCAAAUUCACAUCAGUAACAUUAACAUAAGAUGGUCAUACUUCACAACCUAUAAACUAGCUUAUACAUGCCAUAUUUACAUAUUUUCCAUAAGUUCUAAAAGUACUGGAUAAUGUGAUAGUAAUCUCCGACUUUAUCCGAAUUGAGCAAGCUUCCAAAUCUAUAAAACACGGAAGAAUAAACGGAGUAAGCAUUAAGCUUAGUAAGCACGUAUAAUAUAGAAUUAAACUUACCAAAUGACAAUAAGCAUUAUAACAAAUUAAAAUCCAACCCAUUUGCUUAUAAUGCCUAUUCACAUCACCAUUCAUAAGUUAGUCAUGUAACAUUCAUAUAACACCAAAUACUAAUUAUAUAAGUAUCUCAUGUAUCAUAAUAUCCAUGUAAUCAUAUAAUUCAUGUAAAUCAUGUAUCUUAUAAUUCAUGUAAAUCAUAUAGCUCUUAUAUCAUAUGAUCCACAUAUUUCAUAUCGGUAUUAUGCCCAUUGAACCUACUGAAAUAUCGAAGGAUACUCGGGUGAUACACCAUAAGUGUAUAAAUCAGUAAUCUGUCAAUUCAUCAUCAUUUCCGCUCUUUCGAGCCAUGAUCGGUAAGCUCCUUCUGAGAUGAUAAACGGUAAGCUCCGUAGAGUUAAAACAAAAACGGUAAGCCCCGAAGAGCUGAAACAGUAAGCUCAUACCAGCUGUGGUGAGUCCGCAACAAAUGUAAGAGCUACACCAAACGGUAACCCUAGUGACAUGUCACUUGUAUCCUACAACUAUCUACGGUUCAAACAGGAUUCGUAUUUUAUGGUAAGCAUUAUUUUAGGCAUUCUUAUUCCAUCAAUCACAUAUAUUCAAUCUAUAUACAUUCAUUUCAAAAACAUACAAUUAAUUUAAAGUUAGAUUCUAAUUAUACGAACUUACCUCGAGUUACUCGGAUAUCAACUAACGGCUACUCGUUAAUCUUUUCCUUUCCUCGAUCUAAACCUGAACUCGGUUUAUCUUGGUCUAUAUAUUAAAAAAUUCAAAAUUUUUAGUAACCAUUUAAUUCAAUUCGCACAUACUUUCAAAAUUAUACAUUUGCCCCUAUACUUUUGACUACCUAUAUAUUAAAAAAUUCAAAAUUUUUAGUAACCAUUUAAUUCAAUUCGCACAUACUUUCCAAAUUAUACAUUUGCCCCUAUACCUUUGACUACUUUGCAAUUUAGUCAUUUAUACAUAAAAUGGCAAAUUUAUGCAAUUUACCCUUGACCCUUGUAUAGCCGAAUCUCAUACAACCUCAUACUAGCCCAUAUUUUUAUUUUAUUCGCAUUUCCAACCACAACAUUUCUAUCUUUUAUAAUUUAAUCCCUAAUUCUCAUUUUUGUCAAAAAAUCACUUUAUAAAACUUGUAUAUCUAUGAAUAAGCAUCAAUAAUCUAACAAGAAACUUCAAAAUACCUAAAUAUUCAACAAUGGCAUAUCUUAAAAUCUUUAACAGUUUUAAAAAUGAAGGUACGAGUCAGCUAGAUUAAGUUGUAACGAACUCAAAAAUGUAGAAAUCAUUAAAAACCGAGUCAAAACCGUACCUUAAUCUAGCUAAGAAUGUGCCGAAACCAAGGAAGCUUCAAAACCCCUAUUUCAUUUCUCAAAUUCGGCAAUGAAGAUGAAGGAAAUAAUAUGAUUUUGGUUUUGUUUUAUUUAAUAUAACAUAAUUAACAUUUUAUCAAAAUAACCUUAAUGAAUUUUAAUAAUUUCAAAAAUACCAAGCCAACAACUUUCACUAUAUCAUUUAAGGUCUAAUUGACAAUCAAGGACCCUCAUAUUAAUAAACCAUAGCAAUUUAAUACCUUUAAACAAUAGUACUCAACGUUUACGCGUUACGCGAUUUAAUCCUUUUUACUGAAUUAAGCAUUUAAAUGGUAAAAUUUCUUAACGAAAUUUUUAUAAUAUUAUUCUAUCAUGUUGUAAACUAUAUUAAAAUAAUAAAAUAAAUAUUUUCACUUCGAAUUUAUGGUCCCGAAACUACUGUUCUGAUUUAACCUAAAAACGGGCUGUUACAAAUUAACAAUGUGUAAUUAUGAUGUGGAUAUUUUGGCCUUGUGACCUUAUGAGACUGUUGGAUAUGGUUGGCAUGCCAUAGGAUUGUGAGUACUCAUCUAUAUGUGUUUUCUGAUUUGGGCAUUGAGGCCUUGAGACAUGUUAGAGAGAUAUGGGAACGUAAGCUAAGCUCCAUUCAACAGGACAUGUUUAGUGUGUUGAAUAGUGCUAGCUUUAUGCUUCACCUUCGGGAUAUGUUCGACUCUAUGAGUCAAUUGGUGUGUUGGAGAUCUGUGUAUCUGAUGAGUGAUGAUAGAGCUCACUGAUAAACCAUAAUUUAUAUAUAUUUUUAUCCCAUGCUUAGCCCAUUUAUGAAUGAUUUCUCCUUAGAUUUGGUGAAUUUGAUGCUCCUAAUCCUUUAAUUUCAUGUUUUAUACUUAGGUGAGCAUAGGAGAGUAAAAAGAGUGAGAAACAGGCCGAAAAAGGAGAAAAUAGACCCCGUAGGAAAUCAACACGGCUUGGGCUUCCUCACACGGGAGUGUCACACGGCCUUGUCCAUUUGGCAGGAUUGAAGCACGACUUACACGAGUAGACUACACACCUGUGCCUAUUCAACAGCCUUGACCACGGGCUGGAGUAAUCGCACACGGGCGUGUCCCUGCCGAGCCCAAGUAUAGUCCUAUUUGGAAAAGGCUAAUUUUGAAGGCUCUCAAGCAUUCUAAAUCUUAUUUAAACACCUGAGGAGGCACUUAAAAGGGGGACGCAGAGUAGGAAGCAAGGAAUUACUCAAGAAAAGCCGAUUGAUCCAUCUCAGAAGCCGGAUUCAUCAUCAAGACUGAAGAUUUCCCUUCAAGUUCCUUCAGAAGUUUUUGGUUUUCUUAUGUUUUGUUAUCUUUAUGCUUUUGAGAUGUUUUCUUUCAUAAGUAUGAACUAAACCCCCUAAAUACCUAAGAGGAAUGAAACCUAAGAUGGAUCUUGUUAUUAUUAUCUGAAUUGUAUGAUAACUAUUUUACUUGUUCUUAAUUAUGUGUUCUUAAUUCUUGUUUUGAUAUUCCAGGAUAUUGAUUCAAGUUAAGCUCUUAUUCAGAGGAGGAAUAAACCCUGUCUAAAAGUAAAUUUCUCAUAAUUAAGCGGAGUUGAUUGCACGCCUAGAGAUAGGGUGAUAAGAUUUUGCCAAAUUAAGGUGAAACCUAAUAAGGUAAUCCAUAGAUCUAGUUAAUGAAAUUCUAGGGUGUUAAUUAGAAAGAGAUUUCAAUUAUUCAACCUAGGGUUAGACGUUAUUAGUCUCGAGAGAGAUAAUAAUAUAACUUAGAGAUUUCUAAGGAUCAAGUCAAAUGAAUACAUCGUCUGAUUCAGAGUCAAAUAAUAAGUGAAGUCCAGGUGGAUUUUUCCUUAGGUAUUGUCUUAAUCAAUCAAAUUCUCCCAAAAGUAUUUUCUCAAAUUUUCUUUCUGUGCAUUCUUAGUUUAGUAAUUAGUUUAAAUAACCAAACCACUUAAUUUUUUUAGGCUAGAUAAUAAAAAGGAAGUAAAUACUAGUACUCCUGGUUCCCUUGGGUUCGACAAUCCGGUCUUGCUGAACUAUAUUACUGUUUCGAUAGGUACACUUGCCUCAAUCGAAUUCUCCCAAAAGUAUUUUCUCAAAUUUUCUUUCUGUGCAUUCUUAGUUUAGUAAUUAGUUUAAAUAACCAAACCACUUAAUUUUUUUUAGGCUAGAUAAUAAAAAGGAAGUAAAUACUAGUACUCGUGGUUCCCUUAGGUUCGACAAUCCGGUCUUGCUGAACUAUACUACUGUUCGAUAGGUACACUUGCCUUAAUCGUGAUAAUAAGUUAGUCUCAAGAAUGAUUCAUUCAUAAAUCUCUAAAACAUGUCACGAAUAUCACAUAUCAAGUUUUUGGCGUCGUUGCCGGGGAACUAGGAUAUUAGGAACACUCGAUUUUUAUUACUUUAGCCAUUUUACUUUUAUUGCAAUUUAAAUUUUUAUUUUCUUUUCUAAUUCUUCAUUUAUUCUCUUCUAGCAGGUUUUUCUAGUUUAUGACCAGAAGAAACCCAUCAGGACCAUUACUUUUUUACGAUGAGAUCGACUGCACAGUUCGCAAAAACCGAAGAGAAAUAAGGUGAAACUUAAGAUACACAAAGGAAGAGCAAGAGGACAAUACUUCAACCACAACCGAAGAGAUGGCUGAAAACCAAGAAAAUCUGUUACCUCCUGCGAUUGCUGUUAAUCAGAAUCCUGCUCCGCGCACUAUGUAUGAUUAUGCUAAACCUUCUUUAACAAGAACUGAAUCGACCAUAGUUAGACCUGUUGUAGAUGCAAAUAUUUUUGAACUGAAACCUAACACAAUUCAAAUGAUAUAGCAAUUUGUUCAGUUUGAUGGUUUGCAGGACGAAGAUCCCAAUGCUCACUUGGCAACCUUUUUGGAACUAUGUGAUACAUUUAAAAUUAAUGGCAUUUCUAAUGAAGCCAUUCGCCUUCGGUUAUUCCCUUUUUCAUUGAGAAACAGAGCUAAACAGUGGUUGAAUUCGUUGCCACGAUGGUUAAUCACUACUUGGGAACAAAUGACCGAAAAGUUUUUAUUAAAAUAUUUUUCGCCAGCUAAAAUGGCUAAAUUACGUAAUAAUAUCUCUUCUUUUGUGCAGAUGAAUUUAGAAACACUCUACGAUACAUGGGAGAGAUACAAGGACCUCUUGAGAAGAGGCCCUCACUAUAGGUUACCACUCUAGCUACAGGUUCAAACGUUUCACAAUGGCCUGAAUCCUUCGACUCGACAAAUGGUUGAUACAGCCGCUGGCGGAACCAUCAAUAAUAAGACACCUGAAGAUGCCUAUGAGUUUAUGGAAGAGAUGUCAUUGAAUAAUUAUCAGUGGCAAGUCAUGAGGAUAAAGUCAACGAAAACAGCCGGCAUUUAUAAUGUCGAUUCGGUUACCAUGCUCCCUAAUCAGGUAGAACUCUUGAAUAAGAAAAUUGAUGGUUUUCUUAGUUCUUCACAUGUUCACCCAGUAAUGCAGUGCAAAGCAAGUGGAGGUGGAUCAAGCAAUUCAGAUUACCCACCCUCUGAUCACAACAUGGAGAACGAGCAGUUAAAUUACAUGAGUAAUAAUCCUCGAUCUCAAAAUAAUCCUUAUAGUAAUACUUACAAUGCAGGUUGGAAGAACCACCCAAAUUUCUCAUAGGGAGGCCAAGGGAAUCAAAGACCACCACCUCCAGGCUUCCAACAACCACCUUACCAACAAGAGAAAAAGUCGAACCUUAAGAAGAUGCUAACAAAAUUCGUCUUAGUGUCAAAAACUCAUUUUCAGAAUACUGAUACAACAUUUAAAAAUCAACAAGCGUCGAUCCAAGGGAUCGAAACUCAGAUAGGUCAGCUCGCUAAAUUGAUAUCUGAACGACCACAAGGUAGCCUGCCAAGUAACACUGAAUCUAAUCCAAGGGAGAAAAUCAAUGCAAUUACCAUUUAAGAUGAUAAAAGGUUAGUUGCACCCGAACCAGAACAGAGGCAAGAAACUGUGGUAAGUAAAGGUAAGGGUGAGGUGGACCACAAUGACCAGAAAACGGUAAGUAAAGAGUACAAACCACGGGUGCCAUACCCCAUACGACAAGGAAAGACCGUACAGAUGAAAAAUUUGGUAAAUUCCUUAAACUAUAAAAGAAAUUACAUAUUAACUUACCGUUUAUCGAAGCUCUCUCGCAAAUGCCAAACACAGUCAAAUUUUUAAAAGAGCUUCUAACAAACAAACGAAAGUUAGAUGAGGCGUCACAUAUGGAGUUAAAUGCAGUUUGCUCAGCCAUAUUACAGAAUAAGCUACCCAACAAAUUGAAAGAUCCAGGGAAUUUUACGAUUUCUUGUUUAACUGGUAGUUUAGAUGUUUAUAAUGCAUUGGCUGACUUAGGGGCAAGCAUUAAUGUUAUGCCUUAUAAAAUAUUUAACAGCUAGGUCUUGGGAAACCCAAACAAACUAGGAUGAGUAUUCAAUUAGCUGAUAAAAUCAUUAGAUUUCCUAAGAGUAUCAUUGAAGAUGUUCUUGUUAAGAUCGAUAAAUUUAUAUACCCAGUAGACUUUAUUGUUCUAGACAUGGAAGAGGAUAGUAACGCACAUUUGAUUUUAGGACGACCCUUUUUAGCGACUGCUAGAACCAUUAUUGAUGUUGUUACAGGUGAACUCACACUUCGUGAGGGAGACAAAACAAUCACCCUUCAAGCUCGUAAUUCGAGUAAUACAUCAAAAAUUGAAUGUAGUUGUAUAAAUUAUUCUACUAGUACUGAUCGUGUGGUGAAACCCUCUAUGCAGGAAACAAUUUCAAAGAACGCAUAUGAGUUGUGUUCAAACAACAACAAAGAACCCAUCUAUGAAGAGCGAAGGCUACAAAUCGAGAGUUAGAUGAAUUGCUGACACAGAAAUCAAGAACACCCGAUAACCUGAAAUCGAGCCAGGACAAGUUCAAUACCUCACCAAAUCAACUUAAGGUUGGAGACAAAGUACUACAAGAUGCAGCAGAUCCUCGCAUUUCCACUCCUGAACCUAAUGAAGAAAUUCCUCUUAUGGCACUCAGUAUUUUCCCAUAUGGUACAGUCGAGGUAAUUCAUCUCAAAUUCGGCACAUUUAAGUUAAAUAAUACCCGUCUUAAACCUUAUGUUGAUAAAGUUGAUAGCAGGGAUGAGGAGUGUAAACUUCUCGCACCACCUUGACCAUACAGAAGAGAGGUAAGACCAGCUUAAGACUAUAAAUAAGCGCUUCUAGGGAGGCAACCUGAGCACUAACAGUAAUGAUUUAUUUAAGUUUUAGCUUUUAACAUCUAACAUACUAACUGAAUCAUGGAACGCAGGCUUUUUAAUGACCACACGGCCAGGCACAUAGGCGUGCAUUAGGCCCUGUAAAAAUAGGGCAAAAUUUUUUUUACCCAACACGGGAAACAAUAAGUCGCCACGGGCGUGCGACACGCCCGUGCCUUAAACCGUGGGCGACCCUGUCAAAUUACUAUGGGCGUGCGACAUGCCCAUGUCAUUCAUCCGUGGUCGACAAUAUAAAAAAGAACAUGAGCGUGGGCUAUCAUACACGGGCGUGGGAGAAGUGAACGAAGCAAGACAUGGCCGUGCGACACGGCUGUGUGCACCCACACACCCAAGGAACACGGGCAUGGGCCAAAUCUCAGACGCACCCAAAUUUAAAAAUCGCGAAACUCACGGGCAAAAAUUAGGGUACACGGGCGUGCCCCACGGCCGUGUACCCCAAAAUCUAUAUAAACCCCUCACUAUUCAUCAUCUCCCUCCCAAAAAUCCCUAACCCUAACCGCUGCAACUUCACACGCCCUACCCCCACGCCCAUGCGUCGCCUACAACACCGAUUACGAUGCCCCAAGCUCCUUCCUUUUACAUAUACUAUAUACUAUGUCAUCGUCACGAGGAAAGAAAACUGCUGUCCUCGCUUUGAAGAAGAGAAAAUGAGCAGCGUCAUUCUCAGGUCCUACCACGGAGAUUAAGCACCCGUUCCUUUAGGUUCCCUUGGGACCCUAGGAGGAAUUAUAUCAGAUAUUACGGGUCCGACCCCUAAGUGUGGGCCGCUGCAUUGACUGGGCCGCACUAGAACAGAUUCAUUUGGCUGACAUAGUCCGAGCCCUCCUGACGACUGACUCGUAGGGGCUCUUCUUUGAGACGUCAAGCUGACGUAUCUCGGGUUCACAUUAGAACUCUGUUCGACGUUCCAUCUUCAUAUCGUCAUGACCAACUUCGACGAUCUUGAAACGGUCCAGUUCUGCCUUGGUGGCCUAGUAAGCCAGUUGAGCGUACCCAAUUUCGGGAUUGCACUAGGGCUAUAAAUGGAGGAGUUCAUGAAAGACAAUGAACUCAACACCCUCCACCGCCACAUCCAAUAGUCCCCCUCAAAGUGUUGGAGGGACCUCGUCCCUGCCUCGGCCACCUACGAUCUUAGCCUCUCCAAGGCAUCGGCUCUCCCUCCAUCUUUGAGGUAUCUACCAUCUUGGCUCACACUCUGACAGGGAGACGAGAGAGCACCAGCGUCGUCACCACCCAUGACGCAUAUUUCUUAUAGAGCAUGGCGAAUGGGCACAUCCUCGACCUUACUUACUUCAUCACCUUCGCCAUCCGCCAUCAGAUGGAACGACAUACGAAAGGGGUCAUCUCUAUUGGGCUCUAUGUGACUCGACUGGCUCUGCACCUCAGGCUCCUCAACACAGCAGCACAAUCAUCCUCCCUCACUCUCAUCGGCUAGAUGUCCCUACAAGGCAUCUCGAGCAUGCUAAAUAUGAGGUAUGGAGAUGAUCGAAAAACGACGUGGCACCUACCCUCCUCAGUAUCGCCUCGUCCAGUCCACCGAGGAGGGGGACCUAGAGGACAUUACUGAUGAUGUCCUCCACAUCAUGAGGACCCACCGUCUCAGCCACCACCUAUCCAUCGUCCAAUUCAUGCUGCGGCUUCAUAUUUUGACAUCUCUGAGUGCCUUACACGAUUUGAGCAGCAAUAUUUUCAGCGCUUUGAUCACAUUGAUGCGACUCUACAUCAGAUUUGCCAGCACUUCUCCACAUCUCAUCGCAACCACCACCUCACGAACCAUCCGGCGAUGACGAUGUUUAAAAACUUUUUAUUUUUUAUUUUUAUUUUCACUUUUAUCUUUAUUUACUUUAUUAAGUACUUUUUAUUUCAUUUUCCUUUAUUAUUGAAUAAUUUAUAGUUUUGGCUAUUUCAUUAUGAGUAAUUAUGCUUCCUUAUAUUUCUUAAAAAGUUCUUGAUUCUAUCACAGUUAUAAAGAGCUCCAAAGCUCAUCAUCGCAUAGGAACAAAAAACUCUACUGGGAAAGAUUCUCCACGACUGUCAUGUCCUACUCGACCAUGACCAUAGCCACCACCAGAUAUAAUAUUCUUUUGGCGCAGGACUUAUAGACUAAUGAACCUCUACCACGACCGGAGUAUCCUCCUCCACUCCCAUCAUUGUCUUGGUCGAUUAUUCUCCAUAACUCCAAAUCAAAGAGUUAAUUCAUCAUUCAGGAAGUUUCACUUCCAUCCCUAUCUUAUGGUUAUUUAUCUCUACUCUUCAAGAUAUCUAUCUUUGUACAUUGAGGGUAAUGUACAUCUUAAGUGUGAGGGGUCUUUCAUAUCAUCAGUAGAAAUCCCUAAAUUUUUUCUUAUUCUCACGUGAAUCAUUCAUAUCACUAUUAGAAUGAAUUUUAAUUAAUUAUGAUUCUUACUAAUAUGUCAUGAAUUAAAACAUAGACAUUUAUGCAUUGAUUGUUUAAACUUUAAGAUGUUAGGGAAUCAAGCAUGAUAAGUUGAUUUUUGAAGAAUUAAAAACUUUUAGGUUGUUUCCCUAAGUUUAGGUAUUAUCGUGAGUUGGAAUUCACAAGUUUAAACAUCAAAAAGCCAUAAUUUUUGUAAGAUCUUGAACCUUUAGAGCAUAUUUUAUUUCUUUCAUGCUCACUUUCAUUAUGAGUGCGUCAGUUUUGAUUUGUUAUUCUAGAAUCUGCUUGAUUAUGCAUGUUAAGACCACACCAUUUUAGUUGAUAGGUCAAGAUGAUAAAGGCACUUAGGUUUAACCCACUCACUCUAUAAAAUCCUACCUCCAUAAUUAACCCGUAGUGAACCCCUUAUGAGCCUAACAAGCCAUUAAUUGAUUUACCCUCAAUAUUGACCCAUAACCCAUUAUUGUUGAAAUCCCCUAAUUUGAUCCCUAUUUUUGUCGAGAUUUGAUUUGAACAAAAUUCUUAGUUAUGUUUUGUUCUUCUAAAUAUUUGACUUGUUCUUGAUAAUAAAAAAACAAUACUUACAUACAUAUUAGUAGUAAUUCGUCAUUUUUUAGCUUGAGUGUUAAUUCCAUAUUCUGAGAAGAAGCUCACUUGUAUUCAACUGAUGACUAGUUAUUUUUCUAGCUAGGUAAUUUUUCAAUUCAAUCUUGAUUCUAACCUUUUCUUUCAGCUUGUGACCACACCCCCUAACCAAAGCCACAUUACAACCCUCUAAAAGACCUUUUUGAUUGAUGUAUCAGCUCAAUAUAUAGUGGUAGAGAUUUGAUUUUCAAGCAAGCCUAUGGUAAUAACUUUUUAUAUUGACUAAUGAGUGCUUUAAUUGAUGUCCUUAAACACCUUGAGUGAUUUGAGUGAAUCUUUAGUGAGGAUGUUAAACUCUGCGAUUUUUUGAUCAAAGGAAAUCAUUUAGAUGAGGGGAGGCACCUAUGUUUUCAUGAUAAAAUGCUCAACUUAGAAUGAUUGAAACUUUGAUGACUUUUAGUUGAAUUUUCAAUGUAUGAGUACUUCUGGAUUAUUUUGAGAUAUUAUUGAUAGGGAUUAUAAAUUGAGAAGAAUUUAUGUUGAAUGUGAGCUGAGGAUUUUGCUUGAGGACAAACAAAUGCUUAAGUGUGGGGGUAUUUGAUAAACUAUAAUUUAUAUAUAUUUUUAUCCCAUGUUUAGCCCAUUUAUGAAUGGUUUCUCCUUAGAUUUGGUUAAUUUGAUUAUCUUAAUCCUUUAAUUUCAUGUUUUAUACUUAGGUGAGCAUAGAAGAGUAGAAAGACCGAGAAACGGGCCGAAAACAGAGAAAAUGGACCCACGUGGGAAAUCAACACGGCCUGGACUUCCUCACACAGGCGUGUCACAUGGCCGUGUCCAUUUUGCAGGAUUGAAGCACGACUUACACGGGUAGACUACACGCCUGUGCCUAUUCAACAACCUCAACCACGAGCUAGAGUAAUCGCACACAGGCGUGUCCCUACCAAGCCCAAGUAUAGUCUUAUUCGGAAAAGGCCAAUUUUGAGGGCUCUUAGGCAUUCUAAAUCCUAUUUAAACACCUGACAAGGCACUUAAGAGGGGAACGCAGAGUAGGAAGUAAGGAAUUACUCAAGGAAAGCCAAUUGAUCCAUCUCAGAAGCCGAAUUCAUCAUCAAGACUGAAGAUCUCCUUUCAAGUUCCUUCAGGAGUUUUGGGUUUUCUUAUGUUUUGCUAUCUUUAUGCUUUUGAGAUGUCUUCUUUCAUAAGUAUGAACUAAACCCCCUAAAUACCUAAGGGGAAUGAAACUUAAGACGGAUCUUGUUAUUAUUAUCUGAAUUGUAUGAUAAAUAUUUGACUUCUUCUUAAUUAUGUGUUAUUAAUUCUUGUUUUGAUAUUCCAAGAUAUUGAUUCAAGUUAAGCUCUUAUUCAGAAGAGGAAUAGACCCUGUCUAAGAGUAAAUUUUUCAUAAUUAAGCGGAGUUGAUUGCAUGCCUAGAGAUAAGGUGAUAAGAUUUUGCCGGAUUAGGGUGAAACUUAAUAAAGAAAUCCAUAUAUCAAGUUAAUGCAAUUCUAGGGUGUUAAUUAGAAAGAGAUUUCAAUUAUUCAACCUAGGGUUAGACGUUAUUAGUCUCGAGAGAAAUAAUAAUAUAACUUAGGGAUUUCUACGGAUCAAGUCAAAUGAAUAAAUCGUCUGAUUCAGAGUCAAAUAGCAAGUGAAGUCUAGGUGGAUUUUUCCUUAGGUAUUGUCUUAAUCAAUCGAAUUCUCUCAAAAUUAUUUUCCCAAAUUUUCUUUCUGUGCAUUCUUAGUUUAGUAAUUAGUUUAGAUAACCAAACCUCUUAAUUAUUUUAGGCUAGAUAAUAAAGAGGAAGUAAAUACUAGUACUCAUGGUUCCUUUAGGUUCGACAAUCUGGUCUUGCUGAACUAUACUAUUGUUCGAUAGGUACACUUGCCUUAAUCGUGAUAAUAAGUUAGUCUUAAGAAUGAUUCAUUCAUAAAUCUCUAAAACCUGUCACAAAUAUCACGUAUCACUCAUUUUAUGCUUCAUAGCCUCAAAAGCCAAAUUAUUUUAAAAUGUUUAUAUGUGUAAUGUGAUAUAUACCUAAAUGAGGAUAUGGUUGUUAUGCCAAUUUAUCAUUUAAAUAUGUUCUUAUAUGUUAUGAUAAUAUGAUAAAAGACGGAUGCUUUUAAUUGUCAAUAAUAUGUUAAAUGAGUUUAUUUAAGUUACAUGAAAAUGUUAGUAUGUUCUCACAGUAAGUUGCGUAUGUAAUUGUGGAUUGGGUUAUUUUCAUAUAACUUGGGAAUGUCUUUGAAUAUAUAAGUUAAACUUGUGAGUAUUUAAAGCAUGUAUAUGUUGUUUUAGUCUUGACGAAUUAUUAUUAAAUGAAUUAAUGAAGCAUGAACAUGUAAUUAUGACUCAAAUGGAGUAUGGUUGUGAAUAUGUUGUAGUAUGCUAUUGAUUGACCUUUGAUAUUGUGUGUACAUUGUGGUUACAGUGAGUACUCAAUGAGCUUGUAAAGAUCACCCACUCCCUUCUUAAACUUUGCAGAUUAGUUGUGUGCCAGUGUGAGCAAUGUGGCAUUUCGAAGAGUGAUCCAAGCAAGUCUUUUCUUUUAGUAAGUGUUUAAUUAUUGAUUAUGUUUUGGGGAAUAAGGCAAUGUGGUGGACAUAUGUUGAUAUUUGCUAUGUUAUUAUGGUGGUAACUUUAGAGUCAAUGCUUUUAAGAUUUAUGAGACUUGGUGCUUGAUUAAUCGUCUGGUUAUACAGAUAGGAUUCGACAUUUAAAACUAAUUAUAUAAGCGUUAUGAUGAUUUUUAGGAGUUAUAAUCAUUGCAUGUUGAUUUUGUAUAAGUAUGGACGAUUGGAAUGCUCAAAUAUGUUGUAUUUUUAUGGUCUGAAGCAGAGGUAUCAAUAUUCACAUGUUAAAAACAAUACCACUAAAAAUUUCAAAGUGCAAGAAGUCAAUCUUGCUAAUUGGUAUUGAUACCUUGGCCCGAGUAUAGAUACUUGGAGGUGAAAUUAUCAAAACUUGUUCAGUGGUAUCGAUAUUUUCCGAUAGUUGUGUUUUUUAUUAAGAAAUAGUAAGCUAGUUUGGUAGGGAUUUUCCAAGUGGUAUCGAUACUAGAUGGGAGAAUUAUUGAUACCACCUGUAUAGUAUCAAUGCAUACUUAACAUAUUUGUAAAUAUUGCUAAAUAGUCCUAAAGCAUGAUUAUUUGAUGUUAUAAGCUCAUUUGAAAUAUAAUUAACAUGUCCUAUUGAUAACCAUCAUGUGUUCGUCAUAAAACUUAAAUGAAUGUUAAAAUGAAAGACGUUUUGUUGGGAAUAAGCUUUUACUUGUUGUAUUUUACAUGAGAUGAUGGUGUGGCACCUUGAAUUCAGGCUUGGCGACCAGGCCGGGUAUGGGGUGCUAUAGUUAUGUCAUUAAAAAAUUCGAUACAUGGUAAUCGUGUGGGCAACUAGGUGGUAAGGUUGUUAUAUGUAUGUUGUCGUCAAUCAUGGUACUACUUUUACAUUCUCCUUGUUGAGGUAGUAUAAUGUUGUUAUGCUUUAGUGGUCCCUUAGUGGUCACAAUUGGAGAUAGGAGCUUUCCCGCUAAAGGUGACUUGCCUGAUACUAGGUGGACCAGUGAAAGGUGAGAUGCUUAGAUGGUUGAUAGAAAAUGGCACUCUAGCUCACAUCAUCCGAUUGAUCACCAGGGGACCAGCCAUCUAGGCCUCUCACCUUUCAUCAAGCCACCCGCUUUUACCUACUUAGUUUACCCACGAAUCAAUAUGAACCAAUUGGAUUGGUUUUACUGGAUUUUAUAUUUAUAUAUAUUGUAAUUUUAUGAAUUUUUAGUAAUUUAUUUGAUUUAAUUAAUUUAACUAUAAAUCCUAUUCUAAAAACUUAAACAUCAAUUAUUUUCACACCACUGGAUAUUUAAUUGACCCCAAGAAUUGAUAUUUAAAUCUUAAGUGAACUUUUUUUUUUGGUGAAAAUGAAAUGGAUACAAACGUAAUUGGCGUAGGUCCCCAAAGGAAGAUCCUCAAACAAUCUUAAACUGGUCUUUUGUCUCGAACCAUUUUGACAAGACUAUCAGCAAUUUUAUUUUCUUCCUAAGAAAUAUGUUGGAUCUUCUAUUGAUUUACCAUCAAAACAGUUUGAUGUAUUCUUCUAACUAGAACAGAAUUAGAUAUUCCAGCCGGAUCUUCUAAGAAAUUGUUGUUUAAAAGCAAGCCAAAUGAAUAAACGAAUCCGAUGUGGACCUUUGAACUUUGAAGGUAGCUCCCAAAUCAGUUCUUUUAGAUUCAAUGUACCCUCUCAGAUUUUACCAUAGGCAUUUUUAAUAUAGAAAGAGCCUGUCGAAGAAGCCCCCAAAUAACUCCAUCAAGGCUAGAAGAGGGCUGAAGUAGAAGAACAUAAACGAUUCGAUUAAGAACCUCUUCUUAAACACAAAUUCUAAAAAGAUCUAAAUUCCAUAAACCAUCAUCAGUAGUCAUAUUCUUGAUAGAGAUAUCCAUGCUAAGAUUAGAAGUAAUAGAAAUAUGAUUACACAGAUGUCAAAAGUUGGAAGCCAAGAGUCCAGCCAACAGUUAAUAGAGUUUCCAUCCCCAGCAGACCAUAAUAAAUUUUCGCGAAUAAAGGGCCAUAAUUUAGAAAAGGAUUGUUAUAAGAAGGAACAACACCCUCUUAAAAUGUUUUUAGGUAUACCACUUGUAACCACAUACUUUGACCGGAAAACCUAAACCCAAAGUGCAUUGGAGUUUGAAACGAUGAUAUAUCUAAUCUUUAUCAUGAAAGACCUGUUAUGAUCUUUAAAAUGCUUCAACCCAAGACCCCAUGCGAUUUAGGUUGACAAACAGAGUCCCAUCUAACCAAAGCCAUCUUAGAACCACAAUUAUAAAACCCCCAAAUAAACUUUCUAAUCAUGCAUUCAAUCUCAUCGCAUAAUCCUUUGGGACUAUCAUUGUCUACAUAAAAUAGCUAGGAAUUGAAAGUAGGACAAGUUGGGCCAAAGUCACCCUGCUAACUAAGGAGAGUUGUCUGGCAUCCUAGCUAGAUAAUUUACUUCGCACCUUGUCAACCAUGAAUCGCAAUGUGUUAUUAGUGUCCUUUUCAUGAAAGAGCAACACCCUAAGAUAAGAUCCCAAAUUAUUAACCUCCUAAAUUAAAAUAUAUGCUUAUGUGUGUCCUUGAGCUAUCUUCUAUGUCUUUUGAAAAAAAGAUAUUUGUUUUCUGCAUAUUAAUCUUGUGACCUGAGAAAUCACAAAAAUUUUCAGGAAUGCUUUUAAUGAUCUAAGCUUUAUGUUCAUCAACAUGACCAAAUAAAAUCAAAUCAUUUGCGAAAAAGAGAUAGCAGUGGACAAAUGCAAGACAGACGAAUAGGGGACUAGUUUUCGGAGUCAAUGGCAGAGCGGAUACUAUGAACCAACCAUUCCAUAAAGAUAAAAAACAAAUAAUGAGAUAACGGACAUACCUAUUGAACACUUCUUGCAGGCCGAAAUUUCUGAGUUGGGAUAUCGUUCCACAAAACCUACAUAGAACAAUUCGAAAUUGUAGACAUAAUAACAUUAUGUAAAAAAUUAGGGAUACCUGCAACCUGUAAAGAGGUGUCAAUGAAGUCCCACUGCACACAAUCAUACUCUUUCCCUAGAUCAAUUUUGAUGGAUAUCCACCCCCUAUUUUUCUGUGUACUCCUCAUGAAGUGAAUAAUCUCUUGUGCAAUAACUAUAUUAUCAGUAAUGUUUCGACCUACUACGAACCUAGUCUGUUCAAGAGAAAUGAUUUUUGGAAAGACCACUUUAAACCGAUUUACAAUGACCUUUAUAACUUAUUUAUAAAGAACUAGAGCAGUGACUGAUAGGUUGAAACUAAGACAAGUCUUCCAGAUUUUGCACCUUAGGAAUGAGCACAAUAAGUGAGUUAUUCAGGUCCGAAUCUAUAGUUUCACCCUCAAAAACACCCUUAACCCAAUUGUAGACAGAAGCACCUACAUGUUCCUAUUAACUCUAACAAAAUAAAGCAUAAUAUCCAUCACUCCUGGGAGAUUUCAAAAAAGCCAUAUCGAAAAGGGUAGAUUUACUUUCCUCAUCCAUAACCAGUUUAUUCAAGAAAGUAACAUCUCCACGAUCAAGAAGAGGAAAGGCAUUAAGGGGCAACCCUUUCAUUGGCCCAGGGUUUUCACCAUACAGCUUCUCAAAGAACUUAACUGCUUCAAGUUUCAAUUUCUUUGAAUCCAAAACCCAGUCACCCAUAUCUUUCCUCAAACUAGUAAUUUUGUUCUCUCUCCCCCUUAAAGUGCGCAUAUGAAAGAAUUUAGUGUUACGAUCACCUAACACUAACCAUUCACAACGGGCUUAUGACACCAUAAAACUUUCUCAUGGUGUAACAAAUAUUCUAAUACCUCUCGCACCUCCACCUCAACCUAAUUAAAAUAAACAGAGUUCACUUCACCAAUCGCUAUCUCAAUAUUUUUUAAACUCCUAGGCAGUUGCUUCUUACGGGUGUUGAUGUGGCCAUACACCUCAUUAUUCCAUCUUUUAACCCAAUUUGUAAAAUCUAAAUGAAUUGUAGUAGAACUUUUUUAAUUACAUUUAACAAAAUUCGAGAAAGUUGGGUGCUCAACCCAACCAGCUAAGAACCUAAAAGGGCGCCCUAUAGAGAGGUGGAACUCAAGCCUUAGCUACAAAAAUAAAGGUCCAUGAUCUGAUUUAAGCUGCGGAAGAUGUGUCACCAUAGAGUUUGGAAAGGCAACAUUCCAAGCAUUAUUGAAAAUAGCCCUAUCCAAACGUUCAACAAUUCCUCCUAUCUGCCAUAUGAACUUCGAGCCUCCAAAGCCUAAAUCAUGCAAUUGACUCGAAUCCAUAAAAUCUCCAAAUAAAAUACACAUUUUCCCUAAAGUCCACCCUCCUCUCUUUUCAUAAGAGGAAAGAAUAAUGUUGAAAUCCCCAAUCGACAUCCAUAGAGAUUCAUCCCUAGGAAUAGUUCUACGUAAGGCCUCCGAGAGAUGUUUCCUUUUAUGGCUAUUCGGGCUUCCAAAAAAGGCUGUCUAAAAUUAUUACUAGAAACUUUGAUUAAAACAAAUUGGGGAUGACUUUUAAGAAUCUUAACAUAAAACUACUCUCUCCAACCAAUCCAAAUACCACCCGAAAAUCCAAUUGCCUCCACACAAUGCGAGUGCUGAAACCCAAUUAGCACCACUAACCCUCGUCUCUAAAAGGCCAAUUAAAUCUUGUCUAUGUUCACGAUUAUACUCAUAAAAGACACGAAGAAACUUUAAACUAGCACAACUCUGACAAUUUCAAGAUAAAAUAGUAAAAUUCAUAAAUAAUUACAAAGAGGAAAGGGAGCCAACCGAUAGGAAGUUGCAGAUGCUUUGACACCACCAACUUGGCCAUCUGUCUUAUCUGAUGUAGUCUCCACUUAAGCACUAAAGCUCUUAGCCAUAGAAGUCAUGGCUUCUGGAAGUGGAACCUGUGAAUUACUAGCAAGUUUAAAAUGACCCCUACAUCCAUGAAUUUUUUUAUUUAACGCCUUUCCAAUACGAACAUUUAAUCAAUUAUUCCAAAACCAUGGCCUUUAGAAGAGAUAGAAUUACUAUAGUAGAAAACUCUUCCUUCGGUCUUAAUUUUUUAAAUAAAAUUUGGGUCACAAUUUUCCUUGAAUAUAACAAUAAAAUGGCAUUUGUGGUCCAGAACUUUAGUGUUUAA
rnacentral:lncRNA from 1 species